rnacentral:rRNA from 1 species
AUCUAUGGCCAAACCACCCUAAAUGUGCCAGAUCUCAUCUGGUCUUGGAAGCUAAGCAGGGUCAGGCCUGGUUAGUACUUGGAUGGAAGAAAGAUUUUCAGAGGAGACUGCUCAGAGACAAGUAGUUUGGAGA